rnacentral:tRNA from 4 species
GAGGGGAGGUUUAACCAACAGGAACUGCUAACUCUUGUAUCUGAGUAUAAACCCUCAGCCCCCUUA